AAAUAAAAUAUCGAAAAUGCAAGCACCUUUCUCAGUUAUUUUUAUUUUAUUGUCAAUUUUUUCCUGUUCACGCGGAGAAUACAAAACGACAAAAUGGCCACGUUAUCCCAAUAAAUGGUGUCGCCUCAACUAUGGACCAUAUCUCGGCGGCAGAUGCUAAAACAAGCUCAACAUGUUAUUUACCAAGAAAUGUAUUUUAUAACUGGAUAUGCUACAUUCUUAGCUCAUACCAAUAAAAUAAUCCACAAUCUAUGGCA